UGACAUGAGCCAUGAUGUCCAUUGGUUUCUUAGGCUUUAUUGUAUGGGCACACCACAUGUUUACACUGGGUGUAGACGCAGACACAGGAGCUC